AUAUUAGUUUAUAACGAUUUUACAUUCAAUAACUUGUGUUUAUAGGGUAUGGUAAUUAAAAAGACACACCUCAACAAAGAGGUGGCCAAAGUGCACAGGGGUGUGUGAAUAAAGAGAGCCCCGAAGGGCGAAUUCUUUAGUGAUCCUUCCGCAGGUUCACCUACGGAAA
rnacentral:misc_RNA from 1 species